ACAGAGCUACAUGCUUCUGUGAAUCAGAAUUUCAGAUUCACUGUCAAAGAGGGCUCUUGGAAACCAUUGGACUGCACUGAGUUGCAAAACAAAGAAGAUGUGCCAGACCAGGUGUGAUUGUCAUUGAGGCCAGGUGGCAGCAGUAAAAUGGAGUGGUGGAGUCUACUACAUCAUGCUAUCCUAAGGACAGUAAACACUUAUACAAGCCUAUGUUCCCAGCUCUUUGUCCUGGGUGCUCCUGGUUCUCUCCUCCUCAACCAUAACUCAGCCAAAGAUUCUUUGAGGACACUUGCAAGAUUCCCCAAAGAGCCUGAUGUGAAUUGGAAAACACUGGCCCCUGUUGAAUGUUUGUGAUUCUUUUUAUUUGGAAAAAAAAAGAUUGUAUAAGAGCUAAACUCUGGAUGCACAAGAAAGCACGAACUCACAUAACUGAAGCACCACUCGGAACUCUUCCUGCCUUUCAGUAACAUAGUGGCAUGUGACUAUAAUCACAAAUGAUAAAACCACUCUGUUAAGAAGAAAAGCAAUGUGUGUGAAAAUGCCAAGGUCAGUCCCUGAGCCACUCUUACCUGAUCGCCAUGCACAUCAAAAAAUUGCUUCAUUUUCUCUUGCUGUAAAUAUGUUUAACUCUCCAACUAAAACGAAAAAUGCCACCCUUUCAACUCCAGGGUAAAGAAAGUCCCAGACAAAAAAAAAUAUCCAAACCUUCCCCAAGUCUCUCUCCCCAAGUCACAGCUCUCCUUCAAGGGUCUGUGUCAGUCUUCCCUAUUGGGCAUAUAACAACAAUCACUCACAUAGUCACCAAGAAAAAGGAGAGCUCUCCCUCUUUUAGGAGCUCCAACCUUGGGUCAUAAAUAGUGAAGUGAGUGGCACACUGACUUGCCAACUUGCCACUUUCUCUCUCUCCCUCAUUGUUUGCAUGGCCACCAUCAUUGUCAUGUCUGAGGACCUCCAAAACAUGAAUGAAUUUACCCUCACAACACCCAUCUGAGAUACGGCAGCAUUAUCCUAAUUUUACAGAUGGGAAACUAAAACAGAGUAAUUAAGUGACUUGCCCUAAACUACAAGGAAAUCUGUAGCACAGCUGAGAUUUGAACAUGUCUCUUGAGCUGAUUCCACAAAACCAUCCUCUCUCCCUCCCUGUACUUUAUACAUCACCUUUGAAUUUGUCCCAGUGAGUCUUAGUUGGUGUAAUUCAAAUUGAAGGGUCAGAAAAGAGAUGUGUACCAAGGCAAACAAUACUGGGGGGGAGGGGCGUGUAUGAAUGUGUGGGUUAAAGCAGGCAACCCCUAAUUUAACACCCACCUCCUCAUAGUGUAAAUGAAAACCAUUUAAGCUCACAUUUCAAAAAGUACCUGUAAGUAGCUUUAGGGAAUCUAAACUGGUGUACAGGAGUCUAACACUACCUUAUACAUCAACACUGAAUUUGUACUAAAGACUCAAUAGUAUGCACUUUGAGUGUUCACUGGGUCUAGCCUACAUUUGAAAAUACCACACAUUUAAAAAUAAAAAACUACUAACUUAUAAACAUAACUGACGUAACUACUGUAGUUAAAAUUGACUUUAUGUUGUCCUUGACAGGUUUCAAAAUUAAUUGCCUCUUUUAUAAGUGUCUGCAGGAUAAGUAUCUUGUUAUGGAGAUCAGUUUUCAAGUAGCUGGAACUAUGGAGGCUCUGUCAGAGGCAGCUUUGGCUAAGACAUAGUCCUUCAACACCUUCCAAACCUAAAAAUAAACAAGGCUUUUCAUCAUUAUUUUUAAAAGUACCAGUGCUUUGAAGUUUGGGCAUCUGGGUGUCUAAUUCUGAUACUAAUAUUAAAAAGCUGCAUGUCCUGAUGUCAUUUGAUCCAUUGCAAUGUACAAUUCCAUUAUUUGUGGUUUCAUAUUGAUCAUAAAAUAUUUAUGCUUUUGCUUCACCUAUGAAACAAUCAUUUUAUCAAGGCUACAUAAGCUUUUAAAAGGGAUUCUGACAACUAAAGAAUAUGCUUAUAAUCAACUAGAGCAAUAGCUAUGGGUGAAACAUGAAUAAUACAUGGCCCUCACUCCCUUUCUAAUCUCCACAUUAUAAAGCGUGUAUUCCAGAAUCCUGAAGGAUGAUAAAUAAAAGAAAAUAUUACAAGUAGUGGAAACAGGAUAUACAAUCAGAAGAUGAUACAAUACCCAACCUUUAAAAGGGAUCAAAGAAAGAACAAGGAAACUACAGGCAUGUAUGUCUUACCUCCAUAAUCGGAAGCAUUCUAGAGUCACUGAUUUUGAACAAAACAAAGCAGCAUUCAUACUGGUAGACAGUAAACAGUGUGGGUUUGAUAAAAGAGAAACCAUGAUUAAACUUGAUUAAAAUAGUGGAGGAAGCGACAAUGACAGUCAUGAAGGGUGAGGCGGAAGAUGUAGAUUUACUUAGACCUCAGGAAGGCUUUUGAUAUGCUACCAAGUAAAGGAUUAAUGUGUAAGGAAAUCAAAUUCUGCAUCGGUUGUAAAAUAUUCAAUUGGAUUAAAAAAUUGGCUGGAGAAAGGUGACAGAGGCUAGAUCCUUAGGGGCUGAGGGCAUGCUCUAAACUACACCAGGGAUUGGACCAGGGGCUGAUUUUUCUCUAGUGUCUGUUUUAUACCGGCUUAUAUGAGAAAAAAAUCGGGCUCACUGUAUGAAUUUAAGAAUUUGUCCCUAUGUCUUCAUAACACUGAAUGGGGAAGGACCUUGGGGUGUUUAUGGAUCAGACUCUCCACUUGGAAUUGGAUCCUCAGCUGGUGACAAUCGGCAUAGCUCCAUUUGCUAGAAACGAAAUUAUUCCCAUUCAAGCCAACUGAGGAUCUAGCUCAUGAAGAUCCAGUAUUCUCUCCUCUGCCAUAUGGGGGAAAUGGACUAAAUCAGCUGGUACAAAGCUGUCCUACCAUCUGUCCUACAAAGCUGUCUGUUCCACUCAGGGGUACUACUAACAGCAGUUUCUACACCACCCACAUUCUGGCUCCUGGAGUAGGGGACAUGGACAGGAAAAAGUGGAUGUGACCCAAAAACUCCUAUUCUCCAGAAAUUUCCAAACUUCCUUCGUGGCUCCUUGAGGCUAUUGACAGCUGGCAUAAACUAGAGUAGCAUGAACAUAAGGGACUUUACCAGCAGCUAGGUAGCCCCAGGAUUAAGGGAACAUAAAAGUGGCUUAAAUCCUCUUUUGCAUCCCUUCUAUUCUCAGCUGAUCUCUCUGAUGGACUGCAACCUUGUUGAGGUGGAGAUGCUUGUGUGGGCUAAAGACCCUUAGAGCUACAUUGUCCGGAGCUUUCAUACUCCUGGUAGGGUCCCCGUUGGCGAGCAGGUCUGAGGCGAGUCCAAACUUCACAAGAUCCCAACGGUGGAUCAGGCGCAUAUAGAAGACCUUCUAAUACUCUGUGGCUAUAAAGGCAAAUGAGGGCUGCAGCAAGACAGAGGACCCUGGUUGUCUUGGAUCUUGUUGCCAAUGAGUCAGGAUUUUCCUCCUAUCCAGUCUCAUGUGGUUACCGCCUCUGCACCGGUUUCCCCACAUUAAAAGAUUUCACGCACAGGCCUCUGCCAAAGGGCUCACACCCACACACACAAAGCCCUGCGGCAAUGGAGGAGUGGUGGAGAAGGCAGGAACAGUGAUUUCUGGGAGUCUUUCAUCACAAAUCUGCAUGAAGGUGGAAGCCAUGUGAUGGUCAUCUUGUGCUUGGAUGAGACAGAAGUGCAUUUUGGCAGCAGUGACUGAGACUGAGCAAGCCUUUUUAGGACCUCCUCUGCUCACCCCAAAUGGGGAUGGGGCUAGAAAUGGUGCCCCAAACAUAGGCUGCCUCACACUCUUCCAACUGGAUGGCUGCAUCACUCAACUCUGAGGCCGAAACAAGAGAUACAAGACAAUGAAUUUCACCAACUGGACUGUCCACACCCUUAUAGACUCUCAGCACAGUGAAUGCCCAGAAAGAAGAAUUGCCAUAAUUGCCGGAGAACUGGCAAGACUCAAUAUUGACAUUGCAGCUCUUAGUGAGCUCUGCCAGGCCAAUGAGGGCCAAUCAAAAGAGGAUGGAAGUGGCUACGCCUUCUUUUGGAAAGCAAAGCCACCUGAAGAGAGACACGUUCACGGGGUUGGCUUUGCCAUCAAAAAUAAGAUUGCCAGUCAACUUUUGGAGCUUCCUGUAGGGAUCAACGAGCAUCUCAUGAUUCUUUGGCUCAAGCUCAGCAACAACCAAUAUGCCACGGUCAUCCGUGCAUGUGCCCCAACACUCGAUGAUGAGGAAGACAACAGGGAGCAGUUUUAUAGUACUCUCAGUGCAGUCUCUUUUUUAAGCCUGGUCCCAGCCAUCCUGACUUUUUUUUUUCUUUUUGCAAAAGUGGGCAUUUGUCCCAUUUGCUCUUGCCAACUGAUCACUUUGCCAAAAAAAGUGGGGCACACACCCCUAGCAGAGCACAGAAGAAUGUGUGAGGGGGUCACCAGCAAUGCCAGCCCCCUGUGGGAUCAGGGCUCAAGUGAGUAGCGAUGCCAGCCGCACGGCAGGGAGGCAGAAUUCAGAUGAACAGCAACAGCUGUGCGGGAGGCAGGCAGGGUUCAGACAAACAGCAACAGCCAGCCAAAGGGGUGGGCAGGCAGGGCUCAUGCGAGCGGCAAUUCUGAACCAACACUGAUGGGGGGAGGAGGGCAGUAGCAGGUCUCAGGCAAGGAGCGAUGCCAGCCCCAUGAGGCUUAUCACCUGCUCAAAGCCAAAGUCCAAAGGAGGCUAUGUGACAUCAAAAACAAGUGAUGGCAAGAGAAGACCUCUGAGAUCCAGCGUUUUGUAGACCAGAAUGACUUGAGAAGCUUCUUUCAAGCAACAAAAGCUAUAUAUGGGCCAAGCAUCAAAGGCCCAACCCCCUUAUGUUCCCAGAAUGGCUCUACCCUGCUUAAGGACAAUGCAGUCAUUAAACAAUGCUGGAAGGAGCACUUUGAAAGCCUACUAAACUGCAAAUCCACAGUCUCUGAAGACACCAUAGAGUUUAUUCCACAAUGCUCAGCAAUGGAACACCUUGCUGAUCCCCCAUCUUCUGAGGAAGGCUGGAGUUCCAUCACCCAGACAAAAAAUCACAAGGCAUCAGGCCCAGAUGGCAUCCCAGCUGAGGUUUUUAAAGCUGGUGGAAUAAUGCUUCAGCACAAACUCCUUGCACAAACUUGCCAACUCCUCGACAAAAUCUGGAACUGUGAAGAAAUUCAACCUGACUAUAAGAAGGCCAACAUUGUUAAAGAGGUAUUGCCCUCCUCUUCACUGCAGGAAAGGGAGGGAAGAUCCUGACCCAGAUCCUACUAAACUGCCUCCUCCGCCUUGCCAAGAAACUCCUCCCUGAAUCAGUGUGGCUUCAGGCCGUCCUGAGGCAGAACCAACAUAAUCUUCAUGGCAUGACAGAUUCAGGAGAAGUGCAGAGAGCAACACCAGCAACUGUUUAUGGCAUUCAUUGACUUAACCAAGGCCUUUGACUCUAUCAGCCAUGAUGCCCUAUGGAAGGUGCUGUGUAGGUUUGGCUGUCCACAGAAAUUAAUUUCUAUCAUGAGACUACUCCAAGAUGGGAUGACUGCCACCAAUCUGUGAAACAGGUCAGAGAACAAACCAUUCAUCAUUUGGACUGGUGUCAAGAAGGACCGUGUCAUUGAUCCAACACUCUUCUCUAAUUACCUUGCCGUGAUCCUGAUGCUCAUCUGUGACUGCCUUCCUGACGGAAUUGGGAUUGAGUAUUGUAUGGAUGGCCAACUCCUCAAUCUCCAGCAUCUCCAAACAAAAUCUAAGAUCACAAGAAUUGGCAUCAGUGAUCAGUAUGCAGAUAACUAUGUCAUUCUCACACACACAGAGGCCGACCUGCGAAGCACAGUAAAUUUUUUUGCAGAUGCCUAUCACAGCCUGGGUCUCUCUCUCAACAUCAGGAAAACCAAGGUACUCUACCAGCCUUCACCCUGCAGAAACUACUCUUCGUACUGCACAAGUCACCAUUGGUGGAGAACCCCUGGAAAAUGUGGACCAUUUCCCAUAUCUUGGCAGCCACUGCUCCCAAACAGCCAGAAUUGACACAAAAAUCAAAUAAAGGAUCUGCUCUGCCAGCACACCAGCACAUCCUUUGGAAAGACUACUCAAAUGAGUCAUCAGUCAUAGGGAUCUUCAAAUAGGCAUCAAGAUCUUGGUUUACAAGGCAGUUGUCACUCCCACCCUUCUCUGUGGGUGUGAGACCUGGGUAACCUACAAACGACAUCUCAAGCAGCUGGAGUAGUUCCAGAAGCACUGCCUCAGGAGGAUUCUCAGGAUCAGCUUGGAAGACCAACGCACUAACAUCAGCGUUCUCUCUGUAGCCAUAAUCAGCAGUAUAGAAGUACCGGUCAUGAAACACCGACUCCACUGGACUGGCCACUGUUUACAUAUGCCAGACACUCGCCUCCCUCUCCCAGUUAAGUCAGGGAAGAAGGGCUCAUGGAGGGUAGUGGAAGAACUUCAAAGACAUACUGAAAGUACACCUUAAAAAGGGAGGCAUGAACCAAGUGAACUGGGAGUACUUUGUGGGGAACAGAAAACAGUGGUGCCACACCAUACACCAAGCCACAGCUCAUUUUGAGGAGAACAGACAUGCUCAUGAAACAGAAGUGACAAAGGAGGAAAGAAAGGGUACAACAAUCAAGCCAGCAACUAUGUCUCCUCCAAGAUUACACCUGUCACUUCUGUGGGAAAAUCUGCAGGGCACGAAUUGGGCUUCUCAGCUACUUAAAAACCCACCAAUGAACCCCCUUCGCAGACAUCAUCCUUGCAUCGAGGGAUAGCCGAAUAAGAUCCUCAGCUGAACUGAUUAUUCCUGGGCCACAGUUGAGGAUUUGGAUCAUUGUGGUAUAUUUUUAAAGGCAUAAAGGGCAUGCAGGUGCCUACUUAUGCUUAACAUUCAUGGAGAUGUAGCUAAGUGCCUUUGAAAAAAUCUUUAUUAUUUUUAGCCAUACCAGAUUGUACUGUGCUCUUGUCAGCUGUCUAUAGUUAAGCAGAAUUAGAAUGAGUUGCUGUUGGGAUGGAAGAUCUCCAAAGAAUACCUACCUAGGUACUGCAGGAAGUGAUUCUAGUGAUCCACACUGUCCAUCUAAUCUGUACCUGUAUGAACGCUGUUUUGGUUUGUUUCAAACCAGUGACUCAAGAAUGCUUCCCAUUAGGGAAGUAAGUCUUAUAGGCCUGUAGCUUCCUUGUUCUGUCUUUGAUCCCUUUUAAAGGUUGGGUACCAUUAUCUUCUUUCCAGUCUCUAAUUUUGUAUCCUGGUUCCACUAGUUUGAUAUAUAUUUAUCAUCAUUCAGGAUUCUGGUAAACAGGGUUUAUAAUGUGGAUGUUACAAAGAGAAUGUAAUAUGCAUGUUUCACCCAUAGCUAUUGCUUUAGUUGAUCGUAAGCUGUGGCAGAGCUCCGACCUUGUCCCUGUGGGUCAUGCGCUUCCAGGCAGUUUAUGGUAGCUUCAGAGGCUCAUUGUAACCCUCCAAGUAGCCCUUCUCUCUCUAGGGCCAGGGAUGUAGUCUACUGAGCCCUUUUCAUCAUAAGCCAGCAAUGGAGGUUGGUGAGAGAAUUCCCACGGUCUCUGUUGCUCUUACAGCCUCAUGCCAAAACAGUUUAGCUUCCUGUCCUGACAGGGGCCUGUUUUUCCCCUCCCAAGAGGUGUUUCUGUAGUGGUGGGCUGGGGGGAACCCAGGCCCACCCUCUACUCCAGGUUCCGGCCCAGGGACCCUAAUGGUAGCAGCCAAUCUUUUACUGCCAGAGUUGCUACAUUUCCCUGGGCCACUUCCCCACAGCUCUUCUGCUUCUCCCUUUUCACCUUUACCUUAGGGCUCCCUUACUAAUGACCUGAGGGUGUCUUCAUUACCCAGCCCUUCAGCCGCACUUCCUCUCCCUGGCUCCUCUCUGCCUGACUGGAGUGAGCCCUUUUAUAUUAUCAGAGGGGCCUUAAUUAGAGUCAGGUGGUCACAUUAGCUUAAUGGCCUCACCUGACUUUGCAGGUUAAUUGGAGUCAGGUGUUCUCAUUAGCCUGGAAUAGCCCCUGCUCUGGUCAGUCAGGGAACAGAAAACCAUUAAUCCAGUGGCCAUUAUAUCUGUCUUCUGCUACUCUGCUGUACCCAACUGGCCUGGGUCUAUCACAAAGCAUAUUCUUCAGUUGUCAGUAGCCCCAUUUAAAAGUUUAUGUAGCCUCGAUAUAAUGAUUAUUGUUUCAGAAGUGAAGCAAAAGCAUAAACUUUGUACAAUCAAUAUGAAACCACAAAUAAUGGAAUUAUACAUUGCAAUGGAUCAUAAUCAUAAGUGGUGAGGACCUUGACUGUAUGUUUCAUUCAAAACAUGGAGCCACUUGUAACACCAUGCUGGGAAGUGGUUCAGUGCAGAAUCAGAGGGCCACUUCCCAGCAUGGUGUUACAAAUGGUUCCAGCUUUUGAAUGCAACUUACUGUCAAGGUCCUUACCACUUAUGAUUAUUAAAUAACCUAUGGCACUUUUAUUUUGGGUAUGUCUACGCUGCAGCUGGGAGCGUGCUUGGACAGCUGCAUGAGCUCUGCUCAAGCGAUUGGGCUAGAAUUAGUAGUGUAGCUGUGAGGGUAGCAUGGGCAAUGGCUUGGGCUAGUUGCUCAAAUACAUACACAAGAGGGUCUGGGUGGAUUUGUGUUCAGGUGGCUACCUGAACGGCUACCCAUGCCACCCCUCAGCUACACCGCUAUUUUUAGCGUGCUAGCUCAACCAGAAUUAGUGCAUGUCUGUCUACCUGCUCUGAGAAACACAUUCCUAGCAAGAGUGUAGAUGCACCCUUGUGUUGAGGUGUUAGUCCUGCUCUUCAGGUCAAACUGCAAAUACAAUAAUCACAUUGUACCUGCUUACAUUUUCCCUGGAGUUUCAAAAAGAUAAAUCUUCACAUUCUGUCCAGAAUAUUGUGUAGUGUUGGUAUGUGCUAUCAAAAUAAUAUCUGCCUUUCACCUUGGAGGCAGCUGCAUUUCAGUUGUGACUUCACUGAUCCUUACAUAUUGUUUGUAAAGCUUUUUAGGCUCUUUCUUUAUGUAGGAGCUAUAUAAAUGUAAAUUAUUUUAAUCACGUCUGCUGCCAUAGUUGGGUUUCACAACACCGAUAAUAUACAGUCCCUGAUUAUUUUGGGAGGGAAUAUUUUCCCAAACUUUCUUCAGAAGAUUUUCUUGUUUUAACCUCCGGGUCAGAGUCUAUCAAACAAAUGUGAUGCAUACAGAUAUUAAACCUCCCCUGUGUCAUUUUCAAACAUGUUUUUAUUCUCCUCUAAAGUAGAAAUCGGUUUCACUUUCCAACAUUUCCACUCCUUUCAUUAUAUCGCAUGUAGGACUUAUUCUUCGGUUCCCAUGUGCUGAAAGAAACUUAUAUUUUGAAAUCCAUUAAUCCUAUAAAGCUUCAUUUAUAAAAAAACAUACACUCACCUUAAGACAAAUGGCUUAAAGCCUGAAUCUUCAUUUCAAACAGAAAUACAUUUUUUGAAGAACAGCAGUUGCAACCAGAUUCUUUACUCUUCAUUAUCUGUAAACCUCAUAAAAAAUCCAUUUCAAAACAGAAGAGAGGGUGCUGAAGAAUGUCAUCAGCCUCAUUUAAGAAUGCAGAGACAUAUCUUGAAAUCUACUUUGCUAUUUUUCUGUAUAACUUAACAUCUGAGAGAGUAAGAUGAAUUUAAAUUACUCAUAUUUCAAAAUAAGCAAUUCAUACAAGACUUGCAUACUGGAAUAGGUUCCAUCAUGAGACUGAAUUUAAAUAUAGCAUCUGUAUAGCUGUAUGUUACAAAGAAUAUGCAAGCUUUCACCUUUCCCGAUCUUAUUUAUUAACCUCAACUGCUUUACAGGCCACCAACAAAAAAUCUUGUGUCCAACAGACACAGAAUGAUUUCUUCAGAGGGUUGCACAAACUAGAAAAGGCCAGGAGGCAUAUUAGGCAAAAGAGGUUUGGAGGUGAGGUCAGUGGAAUCUAUAAUAAGGGUUACAGAGGUGGAGAAAAAGAGGAUCAACCCAUGCUGGAAAAUAUAUCUCAUCUCCUCCUUUUACAGAAGCUGCAGCCAUUGUUAGCCUCCUCCAAUAAUCUGCUAACUCCUCCUGAAGAGGAGACUCCAGAGACACAACAUCUUAAAUCUGCUCGGAUUUCUUCCUCGCAUGUAGUGCUGCUCAUUAUCUAUGCUAGGCCCUUUGGGAUGACCAUUAACAAUUUAAUUGAUACUUACUUAACAUAGUAAAAUGUAUCUUUGUUCUAGUCCAGCAUCUCCUGCUAGGCUUGUCUCUGAUGACCUGGAAACUAGAUAUCAGAAAUAGCAACAUUUACCCAUGUAAGGGGAAUGCAAUUGUUCCAUUUCAGAGAAAUGCCAAGACAGGAGAUUGUGAAGAAGAAAACUGUUACACAAACACUGCAGGCCAAGUGACAUUAUUUACAGCUGUUGGUCAAACCAUUCUGAAUAAUGUUAAGGAUCUACAACCCCUGAAGAUUGAACAGGACAUGAUAAAUAUAGAAUUUAACAGUGAACCCUGUGAUCUAUUGCCAAUAUGAUUAUGAAAAACAUCUCUACAAGUCAGAGAAGAAAAUCCAUUGCUGUAAGAGACUAACACACACACACACACAGUGAUUAGUUCAAUUUUUUAACUAUCACAUACAUUCAUCAUUAUUGUGUAAAUAUUCGUGCAUUAAACUGAUCAUAAAUUGUUAACGAUUGCCCAGGGUAUUUUAUCUGAUCAGCCUCUUCUGCACCAUUUAUAUUCCAGUGUCCAGGUGUUCUCAAAUGAUGGUAAGUGCAUACCACUGCACAACAUUCCUUACAUGAAGGUUCUUCAAAGAAAUCACAAGAUGUGAUUCCUCUCUGCACUACUCCAGUUUUGCACCUAUGUAAUUCCUAAUUUUAAUGGCAUUAAAUCAGCGCAAAACUGGAACAACACAGCAGGGCAUUGGAUUAACAGAAUUUACAAUCUGAUUAUUAGCAAUAGGCAAAUCAAUUGUGUUAAAAUAAAAAGUGGCUUGGAGCUGAGCUCUUCCUCAUAUGAACUGAACUCACAGGUUCCUUAAGAAGAGUAGAUAGGAUGGGCUCCCUCCUUUCCCCACAUGAAAAAUAUUCCCUUUUUCCACAUCUAUGACCCUUAUAUAAGAUUCUACUGACCUUUCCCCAAACCACUGUUGUUUGAUAAGUCUUUCAGCCUUCCCCAUUCUAUUCAGCCCUUUGAGAGCAGAAUUUGGCCCAAAACAUGUAUCACAUAUUAGGUUCCAGUGGUAGCUGAUUAAAGGAAUGGUGCGUUUUUUCUUCUCUACAGGAGACAGUGUAAAAGCAAAGCACACACAAAGAAACCGGCAAGAAGUCGUACUUCUCUGCAGUAGCUGUCAGCUUAGAUCUGUGUGCACUUUGCUACUUGCACUUCUAAUGAGAAAGUGACUGCAGACUCUCAGUGCUUUAAUUUUCUAAUUAAAUAUGAGUUGCUAACAGCCCCCACAUCCUUAUGUCAGACACGUUUACACCCACACACUUUGUUAAUCAUUUAAAAGUCUUUACAACGUGCUUUAAGAAGGUUGUAAGUGAAGGAAAUUGGACCCAGGGUAGAAUAUUUUUAGAAUAAUUGAAAUGUUGAGCUCGUUUAGAAUAACUAAGCAGCAUUUUCCCCCUUCCCCUAUACAAUCACCACUAUUUUGCUAAUUAGGUCUAUAGAUUAUAUAAUUAGUUCACUAUUAAUUAUUCAUUACAAUUACAUUUGAUAUUUCCCAGUGCCAGUUUUAAGUAUUCGUGAUGGUUUUUAAUACUGAAUGCAGUUACAAGUGUUUGAUUUAUGUUUAGUUCUUAUAAUUAUAGGUCUGUUAAUGUUAAAUAUAUUCAUUUGGUCACAAUAAUGUGACACCAAUGAGCUACUGCUUGGUACUAUAAAGAUUAUGGCUCGUUGUCUGUUAGCACAAGCACUAAUUAUUAUUUGUAAUAUGUAACAUCAGAAAAUAAAAUGGUUUCUGUUUCC